rnacentral:rRNA from 1 species
AGAAUCAACGCUGGCGGCGUGCCUAACACAUGCAAGUCGAACGCGAAAGCCCCGAAAGGGGCAAGUAGAGUGGCAAACGGGUGAGUAACACGUGGGUGACCUGCCUUCGAGCGGGGGAUAACGUCCCGAAAGGGACGCUAAUACCGCAUAACAUCCUGCCUUUGAAGAGGUGGAGAUCAAAGCUGGGGAUCGCAAGACCCGGCACUUGAAGAGGGGCCCGCGUCUGAUUAGCUAGUUGGUGGGGUAAUGGCCUACCAAGGCAACGAUCAGUA